GACGGGGGGGGCAAGUGUUCUUCGGAAUGACUGGGCGUAAAAGGGCACGUAGGCGGUGAAUCGGGUUGAAAGUGAAAAGUCGCCAAAAAAGUGGCGGAAUGCUCUCGAAACCAAUUCACUUGAGUGAGACAGAGGAGAGGUGGAAUUUCGUUGUGUAGGGGUGAAAUCCGUAAAUAUACGAAGGAACGCCAAAAGCGAAGGACAGCUCUCUGGGUCCCUACCGACGCUGGGUGCGAAAGCAUGGGGAGCGAACAGG
rnacentral:rRNA from 1 species